AUUGAACGCUGGCGGCAUGCCUUACACAUGCAAGUCGAACGGCAGCACGGGAGCAAUCCUGGUGGCGAGUGGCGAACGGGUGAGUAAUAUAUCGGAACGUGCCCAGCCGUGGGGGAUAACGCAGCGAAAGCUGUGCUAAUACCGCAUACGAUCUACGGAUGAAAGCGGGGGAUCGCAAGACCUCGCGCGAUUGGAGCGGCCGAUAUAAGAUUAGCUAGUUGGUGGGGUAAAGGCCUACCAAGGCGACGAUCUGUAGCUGGUCUGAGAGGACGACCCGCCACACUGGAACUGAGAAACGGGCCAGACGCCUACGGGAGGCAGCAGUGGGGAAUUUUGGACAGUGGGCGCAAGCCUGAUCCAGCAAUGCCGCGUGCAGGAUGAAGGCCUUCGGGUUGUAAACUGCUUUUGUACGGAACGAAACGGUGAGCUCUAAUACAGUUUGCUAAUGACGGUAUCGUAAGAAUAAGCACCGGCUAACUACGUGCCAGCCGCCGCCGUAA
rnacentral:rRNA from 1 species